ensembl:lncRNA
GGAGGCUAUAUACAGGGAGUACCGGUACAGAGUCAAUGUGGAGACUAUAUACAGGGUAUUACCGGUACAGAGUCAAUGUGGAGGCUAUAUACAGGGUAUUACGGUACAGAGUCAAUGUGGAGGCUAUAUACAGGGUAUUACGGUACAGAGUCAAUGUGGAGGCUAUAUACAGGGUAUUACGGUACAGAGUCAAUGUGGAGGCUAUAUACAGGGUGUUAUGGUACUGAGUCAAUGUGGAGGCUAUAUACAGGGGGUACCGGUACAGAGUCAAUGUGGAGGCUAUAUACAGGGGAUACCGGUACAGAGUCAAUGUGGAGGCUAUAUACAGGGGAUACCGGUACAGAGUCAAGGUGGAGACUAUAUACAGGGUGUUUUGGUACAGAGUCAAUGUGGAGGCUAUAUACAGGGUAUUACGGUACAGAGUCAAUGUGGAGGCUAUAUACAGGGUGUUACGGUACAGAGUCAAUGUGGAGGCUAUAUACAGGGGGUACCGGUACAGAGUCAAUGUGGAGACUAUAUACAGGGUAUUACGGUACAGAGUCAAUGUGGAGGCUAUAUACAGGGUGUUAUGGUACAGAGUCAAUGUGGAGGCUAUAUACAGGGUAUUACGGUACAGAGUCAAUGUGGAGGCUAUAUACAGGGUAUUAC